AGUGGCGGACGGGUGAGUAACGCGUGAGAAUCUACCCUCAGGAUGGGGACAACAGUUGGAAACGACUGCUAAUACCCAAUGUGCCGAGAGGUGAAACUUAUAUGGCCUGAGGAAGAGCUCGCGUCUGAUUAGCUAGUUGGUGGGGUAAGAGCCUACCAAGGCGACGAUCAGUAGCUGGUCUGAGAGGAUGAUCAGCCACACUGGGACUGAGACACGGCCCAGACUCCUACGGGAGGCAGCAGUGGGGAAUUUUCUGCAAUGGGCGAAAGCCUGACGGAGCAAGACCGCGUGAGGGAGGAAGGCCUACUGGUUGUAAACCUCUUUUGAUAGGGAAGAACACAAUGACGGUACCUAUCGAAUCAGCCUCGGCUAACUCCGUGCCAGCAGCCGCGGUAAUACGGAGGAGGCAAGCGUUAUCCGGAAUUAUUGGGCGUAAAGCGUCCGUAGGUGGUUUGUCAAGUCAGUUGUUAAAGCGUGGAGCUUAACUCCAUAAGGGCAAUUGAAACUGACAGGCUAGAGUGCGAUAGGGGCAAGGGGAAUUCCCAGUGUAGCGGUGAAAUGCGUAGAUAUUGGGAAGAACAUCGGUGGCGAAAGCGCUUUGCUGGGUCUGCACUGACACUGAGGGACGAAAGCUAGGGGAGCGAAAGGGAUUAGAUACCCCUGUAGCCCUAGCCGUAAACGAUGGAUACUAGGCGUUG
rnacentral:rRNA from 1 species